GACGAACGCUGGCGGCGUGCUUAACACAUGCAAGUCGAACGGAAAGGCCUUUUCGGAGGUACUCGAGUGGCGAACGGGUGAGUAACACGUGGGUGAUCUGCCCUGCACUCUGGGAUAAGCCUGGGAAACUGGGUCUAAUACCGGAUAGGACCGCACUUUAGUGUGUGUGGUGGAAAGUUUUUUCGGUGUAGGAUGAGCCCGCGGCCUAUCAGCUUGUUGGUGGGGUAAUGGCCUACCAAGGCGGCGACGGGUAGCCGGACUGAGAGGUUGGUCGGCCACAUUGGGACUGAGAUACGGCCCAGACUCCUACGGGAGGCAGCAGUGGGGAAUAUUGCACAAUGGGCGCAAGCCUGAUGCAGCGACGCCGCGUGGGGGAUGACGGCCUUCGGGUUGUAAAUUCCUUUCGCCAGGGACGAAGCGUUUUGUGACGGUACCUGGAGAAGAAGCACCGGCUAACUACGUG
rnacentral:rRNA from 1 species